rfam:Alligator mississippiensis ScZkoYb_36, whole genome shotgun sequence.
GCUCUGCGGGCGGAGAGAGGCCCGCGGUUGCCCGUACCGCGGGCGCACCAGGCCCGCAGAGAGAGCACGGGCCGAGGAAGCCGAGGCGGGGCUGCGAGAGCCGCGCGGCUCCCGCGCUAUGUUCCUCCCACAGCGCCGCUCUGUUGCCGCGGAGGCGAUGACUGGCCCCGUGUCAUCGUCCAUCACUCAACAGCGAGAGCAAGGCGCGGCCUCGUGUUGCUCAGCGCGGGGAGCCGCGCGCCUGGGCACUGAGGGCCGCCACAGCU